UGACCACAGACUUCUUUUUGGACUUGGAUCUCAGUGUCUCUGUGCCCUUGUUUGCUCUCUUUGAUUGAAUCCAACACAAGUGAGGGGGGGGAGGUGAGUCAAGACUCUUCAUUGCAAGGGAGAAGUUUCCAUUCCCACCCUCUAUGUAUUACUUGGUCCAGUAUGAUUCAAAUACUGUGUUUCCCUCUGGAUUUUCCUCUUGGAUGGUUGGACACCGAUUUUGCUUGUCAACUUGAUGGGAUUUGGAGCCACCAUACAAACAAACCUCUGAGCUUUCAUGUGAGGAAUUACCUUGAUUAGAUUAGUUGAGGAGGGAAAACCACGCUAUAUGUGGCUAACACUACUCUGUAGGCUGGGGUCCUCGGCUGAA